rnacentral:lncRNA from 1 species
AAAUAUGAAUUGUUAAUGAUUUCAUCAAUUUAAAGUAUUCAUUAAUGAUAAUAUUCAUAAAUAUUUAGUAUAUUCAACAAAUAUAAUUUCUAUAUUUAACGUAGAAGAAAAGUAGAGACUGAGUUUGUUCCAGAUGAAUGUAACAUAAAGAACUCUUGUGUUCUCACUUAAAAUAAUGCAUGCACAUUCGAUAGAAAACGCUUCUAUGCAGAAUUCUUUCUAUACUGUCAUAUCGCAUCCAUUUACACGGUAACGUAUGACUCGCUUACUCUAUCUUAACAUUCCUAUGUAUGUGACAAGUAAACAUUUAACAAAUAUUAUUUUAUUUCAUUUUUUAAAUUAAUUAUGCUAUUACUUUGUUUCAAACAUGAACAUAGAAUUAUAUUUACCCAAGAAUCUUAUAAUGGUAAAAUUAUCUUUAAUUUAUAUGAAUACAAAAUUAACUGAAAACUUCUUUAAUAUUGAAUGUGAUAUAUAUAAUUUCAUUAUGUAAAUCUCUCAAACCAAAAGCAAAUAAUUGAUUAACUAUACUUCUCAUUUUAUGUUGGAUCAUUAUGUGAAUGUGAGAUUUUUUAAGAAGCAACUUACUUUCAUAAGUUUAUUUAUUGUAAGUAAUAUAACAUUAAUUUUACAAGCAGGAUAUAAGUAGAAUAUAAACAGAAAUUUUGAUUUUUUUGUAACUAGAAAUUAAAAUUAAGAUGCUAAUCAUGUUGUUAUUAAAGUUUUAUUUAAUUAAGCAAUAAUCAAGGUAAUGCAAAUGAUGUUAUUCUUUCAGACAAAAAUUAUUUGUAAAAUCAAGCUUCGAUUGUUCAUAAUUUAUGUAAUUGCAUUAUUUAUUCAAACUUAAAUACAUAUGUAGUAGCAAUUAUACAUUAAUAGAAGCUUUGUACCUAUAAUAAAUAAAGAAAAUAUAAAUUACAAUGAUACAUUAUUAAAUCCAAAUUAUUAAUAAUCAUUAUCAAAUCAUUAAAUCCGAUUUUUUUUAACAAUUUUACAUUAUAGUUGUAUUUAUAAUUAUUAGAAUAAUUUUUAAUCUUAUUGCUAGAAGCCAUCCUGUUAGAAGGCAUGUUAUUGCUGAAGUCAACAAGUUAUUUAUAUUUUUAAACCAAGCAGUGUGUUACUGGUUUAUGAUAUAACUUGUAAAUACUCCAGAAAUUAAAAAACUUUUUUACAUUUCUAAAUUG